rnacentral:rRNA from 1 species
UACGAAGGGAGCUAGCGUUGUUCGGAAUCACUGGGCGUAAAGCGCACGUAGGCGGAUGUGUCAGUCAGGGGUGAAAUCCCGGAGCUCAACUUCGGAACUGCCUUUGAUACAGCACGUCUUGAGUCCGAUAGAGGUGGGUGGAAUUCCUAGUGUAGAGGUGAAAUUCGUAGAUAUUAGGAAGAACACCGGUGGCGAAGGCGGCAUCCUGGACCAAUAUUGACGCUGAGGAGCGAAAGCCAGGGGAGCAAACGGG